CCCUAGGUUAAUAUUUUCUUAGUCUAAAUCGAAUACGCCUCUUCAAAAGACUCAUAUUUGAGUCAUAUUCCUAACAAUCUCUACCUUGACUCAAAUUUCAGUGCCACGAAUGAAACUCCUAGAUUUCAAAUUCAUCUGUAUCGAAAUUAACUGGCCGAAUCUCCUCAACACAGAAACCACUCCAUAUAAACCAAACACUUGUCCUCUACCCAGUGUCCACAACCGACACCCGAACCCAAUCCCUGGGGUUCCCAAUUCUACCAAGGAAUUAAUGUUGAUUACAUAGGGCCGAAGCACACCUUAUAGCAAAAAUCAAACCAGAUGCUUGAUUAGAAGGCCUCUUUCUGGAACUGUCGCCUUCAACGUCUCUAGAAACAUCCCAAAAAUUGCCGACACCAUGGUACCUACGCUCGAUGAGUCUUAUCCCAACAACUGAACACGGUGUACUCGCUGAAAUUGGUGGCAAAGCGAAAUCACCAACGCUCUCCUAGCAUUGUUUUGAAUCGACUCAGAGCCCAACACAAGAGGUACUGUACCAAAUUGAACUUCCACCACAGUACUGAACUAGUCCAAAUGUCUCCUCUUAACUGGUUCUACACUUCCUUGCAAAAUGUACAACUGUGAUCUUUUUCGUCCCUCUAGUACAACUCGAACUCCCUUUUGGACCUUCAAGACUCUACCUCCUCCAGAGAAUUUAUACCCUUUUGCAUUCAGGGUACUUAGCAAAAUGAGAUUCCUUUUCAGGUCAGGAGCAUGUCGAACUUGAUCAAUUGUUCUAAAUGUUCCAUCCCCCAGCCUCAAUCUGACUCGACCGAUCCCAACAAUAUUGCAAGAUUGGUUGUUUCCCAUUAGAACUCCACCUUACUGAACAGCCUCAUAUGUCUGAAAUAAAUUCCUAUCGGAACACAUAUGGUGUGAACAUGCUGAAUCAAGAAUCCACUCCUCGUCAAGCCUAGAUUCAACAUCAGAUACCACGAUCAACAUCACCUCUUCGUCAUUUGAACAAUUCUCAACUACAUUGAUUUCAUCUGAAUUCAAAGGUUGCACCUCACGAUUUACAGCUAAAUCGCUUUUAGCUUGCAACAUAUCGCAAUCCUUCCGAAUAUGUCCCUUCCUUUUGCAGUAGUAAUAGGUCACAUUACUAAAUCUAACUCUUCGUCGAUCACCUUGAGAUACAAGAGCUUCCCAUCCUUUGAUGUAGCUCAAACGAAAUACUUCAUUUUCUCCUUUGAGUAUAAAGCAUCAUAGACAUCUUCUAUAGUCAAAGUAUUUCGAUUAUACACGAUAGUAUUUCGAAACGACGCAUAAGAUCUAGGCAGUGAACAAAACAGGAUCAGGGCAAGAUCCUCUUCAUCGUACUUAACCUCCAACAUCUCCAGAUCUGUAACUAUUUUCUUGAACACGACAACAUGGUCUUCCAACGACUCUCCUUCCGCCAUGCAAUGUGAAUACAGCUUCUACUUGAGAGCCGGUUUACUUGUAAGACUUUUAGUUAUACACAACUGCUCCAACUUCAACCACAAAGCAGCCGCUGUUUUCUCCUUCAAAACAUCAUGUAGAAUAUUGUUGGACAUAUGAAGAUAAAUCAAUGAAAUAGCCUUCCGAUCCUUCCGU
rnacentral:lncRNA from 1 species